UACCAGUCGCCGACGGGAAGUUCAUUUUUGUUAGAGUAUAGGAAAUUAUUUUUCGACUAAUAAAAAUAUCAAGAACGGUCCGUAUGCAACCGGUAUACUUCUCGCAAUGCCAUUAUGUCUGACGGGUUGCAUACGCGCAGGCACGACUAGCGUCAUAUACAUUUUACUCGUACAGUACAUUUUCAUACGAGUCUAUAAAUCACGCACUUUGUUCCCAUGGGGUAAUUAUCGACCAGCACAUGCUCCAAGUCGCAGUAUCGUUCCGCGCGGUGUAGAUCUCGUAAAAACAAAACGAUUUUUCUAGAUACCGUUAUGGCGAUCCUAAGAAUCGCUCGAAUCCAUCAGCUCGAUCUACCUUCCUCGAAUACGUACCAAGCGCCCGUGUGACUAUUCACAGUGUCUCGCGUAACUUUGAUCUACGGACAAAGAAUAAUUUGGCCUCUUCGCAUUCAGCAUCCGGUACACGGCAUAGAGGUAGACCUCAUACCUGGACUUACGUAGGUAUAAAAAAUAAGACGAAAGACAAUGGCAUCGGCAUUCUAAGAAAAAUUUAUACCCAAGGCAGGUGCUCAAUCUGAACGAUUAUCGAGAACGUGUCUGGAGGUCUCCAGAGGAAUUGAGUGGAAGCUGCCUGAGGUAUGAGGUGUCCGAGUUCACGAGGAGAGUACAGAAGAAGAAAAAGGAUGCAGUGGAAGGUGCCCGCCUAGUGGCGAAACAAAGUGGACCGGGACAAAGUCCUGUCGACGAGUUCCUUUGAUGGGAUCUAUGGAAAAUCCUUAAUCCCGGACGAGGACCUUAGCAAAGGGCAUGGGUAAUCGUAUACGAGUCUGUAUGCAUCUGGACUGGAGUACGUGGCACCACGGCAAGUACGCAAGUACCAACGUACAAGCGUAGCAAUGUACACAAGCAUGCGGCAAUAGCUUUAACAGAAUCGAGCGAGCGAGUCAGUGAGGGCAAAGCAAAAGCAAGUCUUGGCGAGUAACAGUGGGCGACCCUGCUGCUGGCUGCCGACAGCAUUCCUACAGACACGCCGCGGACCCACACGGCACACACAAUAUGACACACCAGGACGCAAUGUACGUAACCCAACGCAGCACAGCGCACUGCGUCACCACGGAGCCAUCCGUCUGUUUAUCCGUCAGUUGAAUCUUCGCCCGGAAGUACAAUAGAAGUGGAGGGCCGGUGCGAUGCAGCGACCCCAAAUAAUAGGCUGCCUCCGAACGAGACGGAAGAGCUAUGUAUGUCGCUUGGGCCGGAGUUAAGCAGAUCGUAGUUGCCAUGGCAACUCCCGUUCUCGAUGAACCACUUCCGGUCUACGUCCGGGAGCCGCACUGCUCCUCCUUGGCUUUCAUAACGCGUCCGUUCCUCGUCACGGCGACUCCACUACGAGUCUCCGGUGUCCUCUCCAGGUAGAACGGAAGGACCCAGUGCCAAUUACGUGCCUACUACCUAUGUCGUGGAAACGAUGAGGAUCCUGGGACACCUGGAAGGGAUUUUCUCUAAAGUUUUCAGGCUAUCGUGAGAGAUCGACUGCGAUCGAGAAAUUCCGAGGGAUACGGAAAAGUUAGUCCACCGUUAUGGCUUAUCUUUUUCUAACCUGAGCACUCGUGUUCUCUAAAUGCCACCGCCGAGGGAGAAAGAUUAAGUUAAACCACUAAUGGCAGAUCAUGCGAGAGACAAGACCAAAAGGGACUCCGAUCAUCCGGCUCUCCCGUGACGCUCAGGACGAUGGAGCUGCGCGCGCCUGAAAUAACGCAGUCGUGCGGCCGAUGUCAAUGAUCGGCGAACGGGCCCACGAAUCUGAACCGAGCACGUCCGUUUAAAUGUUCCUACCUGGGAAUCCUGUAUCCCUCCACUGUCUCCGCAUCUCGUACGCGUAAAGGUACACACGUGACUCGCGCAUCUCGGUGCACCACGUCAGGUAGCGGCUGCGAUGCCGAGACCUCGGUGAAAGUAUGCACGACCUCAGAAUAAAGUUUUGCGUACUUUAGGACACCGGUGACCUCAGGGACCCGAUGACAUCCACCCACCAUCCAUCGGACAACCUCAGCGACGAAUCCAGAAUGUCCCUACAAGGAAAAAGGAAAAGGAUCCAAGGUCCGUUCAGUACCGAUAAACAUCCUGAUCAUACGUCAAGGUUCACUUGUCAGUCUCGACAAGGGAGCGUUCAGCAGGGUUCUCAAAGUCCGCAAGCGACUCCCUUAUUCAUACAGCCGGCACGUCUUCAUUAACUCGCGUACGAGCCGUGGAUGAUUUUGCAGGAUCUCCUUUCUGCCUUCUACCGGGUGGCUUUGUGUCUCUUCACGGUCACUUACGACAGCACGAGCUACCGGUCCACGAAUUAUCUCUAGCGUGGAAAGAAGUCGGACGCACUCUUCCAGAAAUAACUGUAAGGACCAAUCGAACUUGGGAUAGCGAAGGAUGAUGAGCCUCCCGAUCGACCUUGAAAACAACGCGCAAUUGCAUUUCUGUCGCACGGCUCGAAGUACGUAUGCUUCGUUUACAUUCGACGCAUAUUCUUUACACGUGGUAUAAUGGCAAUAAUUAACUGCUGGUACAAAGAGCAGCGAUUACUUCAUACGGAUUGCGUCAGUGACGUUGGACUUGGGUAUUGGAUCCGGACGGGACAAUUAAUACCAUAGUCGUAUAAUGGUACGGUCAAUGGCACAUUAGUAACAAUUAGUAUUCAUCGAUGGUGUUAACGUUGAAAAGGGUAUGAGAUUUCGCAAAGAUGCUCCUUUUCAAAAUAACAUCAAAUAUCAAUAGCCUCCGCUUGGCUUGACGCAAGUACCAAAGCGUCAUGGCAUAAAUUGCGCCAAGUUUAAAUACGACGCGUCAUUACCCUCUCCCGUCGCUGGAAUCAAAUUCACUAAAUAGGAUCUCCACCUUAAAAAAGGUAAAUCUGGGUUGACGCAGGCGAAGACCCCGAUGGAUCUGCAUUGAACGACCAAUGUGGACGUCACCUUGGAAUACGUAUACAUAAAUAUAAAAAUUUGUCUGGGUAAAAAAAAUACCAGAAGCCCAACAAAUAAAAUAUCAGCUGCAGACGGACGCAACUGUCCGGUCCUGCCACCAGGUGCAUCAACGGAAAGUCGUGGCUUCCUUCGACUAAUUUACUUCUUUGGCUUAAGGAAGGGGAUGAAAAAAUGGAUUGUUAUGUUUAACCCCAUGGUUUUCGAAUAAACAUACGCAGUGGGUAGUUUGGA